UACGUAGGGGGCAAGCGUUGUCCGGAAUCAUUGGGCGUAAAGAGCGCGUAGGCGGCCCAGUAAGUCCGCUCUGAAAGUCAGGGGCUCAACCCCUGAAUGCGGGUGGAUACUGCUGGGCUAGAGUCCGGAAGAGGCGAGUGGAAUCCUGGUGUAGCGGUGAAAUGCGCAGAUAUCAGGAGGAACACCAAUAGCGAAGGCAGCUCGCUGGGACGUUACUGACACUGAGGCGCGAAAGCGUGGGGAGCAAACGGG
rnacentral:rRNA from 1 species